rnacentral:lncRNA from 1 species
UGGGAAGGUGGAGCUCCAAUCCUAGAGGUGCCCCCCCCUGCACACUUACACACUCAUACUUCCACCCAGGUCACCCUACUCAUCCUGAGUCCAUUCCUCACGGUUCCAUAAUUGGAAUUAAACCUCAGCCAUGGUGGGAAGAAAGUCACACUUGGUCUCAAAGCAACAGCCCAGGCGCCAAAGGAGUUUCUGUAGCCUGGAGGAGAGAGAGAGAGAGAGAGUCGGUCCCUGGUUCCCAGAAUUUGAUAAAGUUUGCAAGGGACCUUGGCUGCCCUGGUGCCCAGCAGGACACCCACAGCUUUGGUGUCUGCAACUCCUUGAGCAACACUUGUCUGUCAUGCUCUGCCAACCUGGAUCUUGUAAAACGAACGCGUUUGCCAUGAGCAGUGGCAGAAAAACUCUAAACCAUAUUUUUUUUAAAGUUAAGAACUUUACAUGUGGACUUCAAAUACAGGAGCUCUUGUAACCAAUGCAA